rnacentral:rRNA from 1 species
ACCCACCUUUGACAUGUACGGAAGUUACCAGAGAUGGUUUCGUGCUCGAAAGAGAACCGUAACACAGGUGCUGCAUGGCUGUCGUCAGCUCGUGUCGUGAGAUGUUGGGUUAAGUCCCGCAACGAGCGCAACCCUUGUCAUUAGUUGCUACAUUUAGUUGGGCACUCUAAUGAGACUGCCGGUGACAAACCGGAGGAAGGUGGGGAUGACGUCAAGUCCUCAUGGCCCUUAUAGGUAGGGCUACACACGUCAUACAAUGGCUGGUACAAAGGGUUGCCAACCCGCGAGGGGGAGCUAAUCCCAUAAAACCAGUCGUAGUCCGGAUCGCAGUCUGCAACUCGACUGCGUGAAGUCGGAAUCGCUAGUAAUCGUGGAUCAGAAUGUCACGGUGAAUACGUUCCCGGGUCAUGUACACACCGCCCGUCACACCAUGGGAGCGGGUUCUGCCAGAAGUAGUUAGCCUAACC